AUUGAACGCUGGCGGCAGGCUUAACACAUGCAAGUCGAGCGGUAGAGACCUUCGGGUCUUGAGAGCGGCGGACGGGUGAGUAAUACAUAGGAAUCUGCCUAUUAGUGGGGGAUAGCCCGGGGAAACUCGGAUUAAUACCGCAUACGCCCUACGGGGGAAAGGAGGGGAUCUUCGGACCUUUCGCUAUUAGAUGAGCCUAUGUCGGAUUAGCUUGUUGGUGAGGUAAAGGCUCACCAAGGCGACGAUCCGUAACUGGUCUGAGAGGAUGAUCAGUCACACUGGAACUGAGACACGGUCCAGACUCCUACGGGAGGCAGCAGUGGGGAAUAUUGGACAAUGGGGGAAACCCUGAUCCAGCCAUGCCGCGUGUGCGAUGAAGGCUUUCGGGUUGUAAAGCACUUUCAGUCGG
rnacentral:rRNA from 1 species